rnacentral:rRNA from 1 species
UUCGCCCUUAGAGUUUGAUCCUGGCUCAGAGCGAACGCUGGCGGCAGGCUUAACACAUGCAAGUCGAGCGGGCGUAGCAAUACGUCAGCGGCAGACGGGUGAGUAACGCGUGGGAACGUACCUUUUGGUUCGGAACAACACAGGGAAACUUGUGCUAAUACCGGAUAAGCCCUUACGGGGAAAGAUUUAUCGCCGAAAGAUCGGCCCGCGUCUGAUUAGCUAGUUGGUGAGGUAACGGCUCACCAAGGCGACGAUCAGUAGCUGGUCUGAGAGGAUGAUCAGCCACAUUGGGACUGAGACACGGCCCAAACUCCUACGGGAGGCAGCAGUGGGGAAUAUUGGACAAUGGGGGCAACCCUGAUCCAGCCAUGCCGCGUGAGUGAUGAAGGCCCUAGGGUUGUAAAGCUCUUUUGUGCGGGAAGAUAAUGACGGUACCGCAAGGAUAAGCCCCGGCUAACUUCGUGCCAGCAGCCGCGGUAAUACGAAGGGGGCUAGCGUUGCUCGGAAUCACUGGGCGUAAAGGGUGCGUAGGCGGAUCUUUAAGUCAGAGGUGAAAGCCUGGAGCUCAACUCCAGAACUGCCUUUGAUACUGGGGAUCUUGAGUUCGGGAGAGGUGAGUGGAACUGCGAGUGUAGAGGUGAAAUUCGUAGAUAUUCGCAAGAACACCAGUGGCGAAGGCGGCUCACUGGCCCGAUACUGACGCUGAGGCACGAAAGCGUGGGGAGCAAACAGGAUUAGAUACCCUGGUAGUCCACGCCGU